GACGAACGCUGGCGGCGUGCUUAACACAUGCAAGUCGAACGGAGUGGCGAACGGGUGAGUAACACGUGGGUGUUCUGCCUUGCACUUCGGGAUAAUCUUGGGAAACUGGGUCUAAUACCGGAUAGUGCAAGAUGUGCUUGCGGCCUAUCAGCUUGUUGGUGGGGUAAUGGCCUACCAAGGCGUCGACAGGUAGCCGGCCUGAGAGGGUGUACGGACAAAUUGGGACUGAGAUACGGCCCAGACACCUACUGGAGGCAGCAGGGGGGAAUAGUGACCAAUGGGCGGAAGACUGAUGCAGAGACGCCGCGUGGGGGAUGAAGGCCUUCGGGUUGUAAACUCCUUUAGACAGGAACGCGGUACCUGUAUAAGAAGCACCGGCUAACUACGGGCCAGCAGCCGCGGUAAUAC
rnacentral:rRNA from 1 species